rnacentral:lncRNA from 1 species
CCAUAGCUGCCCUAUAUCUGCCCUAUAUCUGCCCCAUAGCUGCCCCAUAGCUGCCCUAUAUCUGCCCCAUAGCUGCCCUAUAUCUGCCCUAUAUCUGCCCCAUAGCUGCCCUAUAUCUGCCCCAUAGCUGCCCUAUAUCUGCCCUAUAACCGCCCCACACAUUUCAGGGUGAAGAAGGAUUUCCGGGCUUCAAAGGCGACGUGGGACCCAAAGGAGAGCGGGGUGACGUUGGCGUUCCAGGCUCUCGUGGCCCCGACGGCCCCGAAGGCCCCAAAGGUCGAAUGGGCCCCAUAGGAGAAGCCGGCCCUAUAGGGGCCAAUGGAGAGAAGGGUAAACUGGGGGUGCCAGGACUGCCGGGUUACCCAGGAAGGCAAGGCCCCAAGGUGAGUGUGGGGCUGCCCCAUAGAUCCCAUGGCCCCAUAGAUCCCAUUACCCCAUAGAUCCCAUUACCCCAUAGAUCCCAUCACCCCAUAGAUCCCAUUACCCCAUAGAUCCCAUUGCCCCAUAGAUCCCAUGGCCCCAUAAGUCCUAUUACCCCAUAAGUCCCAUUACCCCAUAAAUCCCAUUACCCCAUAGAUCCCAUUGCCCCAUAGAUCCCAUUGCCCCAUAAGUCCCAUUACCCCAUAAGUCCCAUUGCCCCAUAAAUCCCAUUGCCCCAUAGAUCCCAUCACCCCAUAGAUCCCAUCACCCCAUAGAUCCCAUUACCCCAUAGAUCCCAUUGCCCCAUAGAUCCCAUUACCCCAUAAGUCCCAUUACCCCAUAGAUCCCAUUACCCCAUAAAUCCCAUUGCCCCAUAAGUCCCAUUACCCCAUAGAUCCCAUUACCCCAUAGAUCCCAUUGCCCCAUAAAUCCCAUUACCCCAUAGAUCCCAUUACCCCAUAAAUCCCAUUACCCCAUAGAUCCCAUUACCCCAUAAGUCCCAUUACCCCAUAAGUCCCAUCGCCCCAUAAGUCCCAUUGCCCCAUAAGUCCCAUUACCCCAUAGAUCCCAUUGCCCCAUAAAUCCCAUUGCCCCAUAGAUCCCAUUGCCCCAUAGAUCCCAUUACCCCAUAGAUCCCAUUACC